AUUGAACGCUGGCGGAAUGCUUUACACAUGCAAGUCGAGCGGCAGCACGGGGGCAACCCUGGUGGCGAGCGGCGAACGGGUGAGUAAUACAUCGGAACAUGCCCAGUCGUGGGGGAUAACACUUCGAAAGAAGUGCUAAUACCGCAUACGUCCUGAGGGAGAAAGCGGGGGAUCUUCGGACCUCGCGCGAUUGGAGUGGCCGAUGUCAGAUUAGCUAGUUGGUGGGGUAAAGGCCUACCAAGGCAACGAUCUGUAGCUGGUCUGAGAGGAUGAGCAGCCACACUGGGACUGGGACACGGCCCAGCCUCCUACGGGAGGCAGCAGUGGGGAAUUUUGGACAAUGGGGGCAACCCUGAUCCAGCCAUUCCGCGUGAGUGAAGAAGGCCUUCGGGUUGUAAAGCUCUUUCGGCAGGAACGAAACGGCGAGCUCUAACAUAGCUUGCUAAUGACGGUACCUGAAGAAGAAGCACCGGCUAACUACGUGCCAGCAGCCGCCGUAACAC
rnacentral:rRNA from 1 species